rnacentral:rRNA from 1 species
GACGAACGCUGGCGGCGUGCUUAACACACGCAAGUCGAGCGGUAAGGCCCUUUUCGGGGGUACGACGAGCGGCGAACGGUGAGUAACACGUGGUGACCUGCCCUCCAGCUCUGGGAUAAGCCUGGGAAACCGGGUCUAUACUGGAUAUGACUCCAUGACGCAUGUUGUGGGGUGGAAAGCCUUGUGCGGCUGAGGAUGGGCCCGCGGCCUAUCAGCUUGUUAGGUGGGGUGAUGGCCUACCAAGGCGACGACGGGUAG